AGAGUUUGAUCAUGGCUCAGAAUCAACGCUGGCGGCGUGCCUCAGACAUGCAAGUCGAACGCGAAAGUCUCCUUCGGGGGGCAAGUAGAGUGGCGCACGGGUGAGUAACACGUAGGUAAUCUACCUUCGGAUGGGGAAUAACAAUCGGAAACGAUUGCUAAUACCGCAUAAUGCAGCGGCACCUAAUGGUGACAGUUGUUAAAGCGGGGGAUCGAAAGACCUCGCGUCUGAAGAGGAGCCUGCGGCGGAUUAGCUAGUUGGUAAGGUAAUGGCUUACCAAGGCGACGAUCCGUAACCGGCCUGAGAGGGCGGUCGGUCACACUGACACUGACAUACGGGUCAGACUCCUACGGGAGGCAGCAGUCGGGAAUUUUGGGCAAUGGGCGAAAGCCUGACCCAGCAACGCCGCGUGAAGGAUGAAAUCCCUCGGGAUGUAAACUUCGCAAGAACGGGAAGAAUAAGUAGGGGAUAAUACCCCCUAUGAUGACGGUACCGUUUGUAAGCUCCGGCUAACUCCGUGCCAGCAGCCGCGGUAAUUC
rnacentral:rRNA from 1 species